GCUCACCCAAAAAAUGAUUUUUUGUUACCCGCUCAUUACCCCCUCUUCUUCUCAUCUCUGUCGUGUGCCCUAAAUCACCAAAUAAUAGUUUGUUUUUCUUUAGUUGAAAUCCCCCAAAUUUCCCAUUUCCAACAAUACCAGUCAAUACACCUACACCAAUCACACUUCUUUUUCCUUUUCAUUUCACUGCACUGAAACCCUAGAUGAGAAGAAAUCAGAGGAAGAGGAGUUGAAAGAUAAAGAAAACGAAGAGGGGAGUGAGGAGGUUUUUAAUUAUUGAUCUUUUUUAAUUAUUUUCCUUCUAAUUAAGGGUGGUGGCCUGUCGUUCCUUGCAAUUUAUAGAUUUUUUUCUAAUGGUUGAUUCUAGCUUUCUUUUAGGUUGCAAGACACAUUGGAUCGCCUGGCAGCAAAACUAGAGUCAGUGUAUAAAGCAUCAGGGGGAAAAAAGAUAAAGAUCAUAAGUCAUUCUAUGGGGGGUCUUCUGGUAAAAUGUUUCAUCGGCCUUCACAGUGAUGUUUUUGAGAAAUAUGUGAAGAACUAGAUUGCGAUUGCUGCACCUUUUCGGGGUGCACCUGGAUAUAUUGCUUCUACCUUACUAAAUGGAGUGUCAUUUGUUGAAGGGUGGGAACAGAACUUUUUCAUUUCAAAGUGGAGCAUGCAUCAAUUAGAUUCACACUCAAGGAGCAAGAAACAUCUCAGCAACUCAUUGGGAUCGAGCAGUCAAAAUUCAGAAUCAAGUGACACACAAGAGCUAGAUUUGGAGCUUAAACUGUCACUGUAAUCAGUAAUUUUUUUGCUACUUUAAAUGCAUGCUCAUGGAACUACAUUUUAUGCUUUCCUAGAAUUGUAAGUUCAAAUAAGUUGAUAUGAACUAGUUUCAAUUUUUUUUUUUUAAAUUUCAAAGGAAUGUUAUGUAAUCAAAGGUAAUUUGACUUGCUACAUGAGAUAUAGUGAAAAACAUUUAUCUUCUUGUU